CUAACUGCAUUUACUGUGGAGGCUACUCUGUCAACAAUGCCUGUAUGUUAACCUAAACCAUUUAGUGAAACCACAAGAUAAAUCUAUUAAAACAGUAGUGUUUUAGACUUCUCUAUAGAACUAAUGGGCACUCCUUUUAGUCAAAUGUAUUUGUACGUAUAUUGGGGAAAACUCACCAUUAGCUGAAUCUAAAAUCACAAUCUGAUUAAGUACAUAACUUAUUUCCUGGUGUAAGUUGAUCCAAUUGGAUUGCUUGCAUAUCAUUAAAUGGAGAAUUCGAACAACAAAAAACAUUGUUUAGAAUGUUUUUCUCCACUCACUAAAGGUUUUGUGUGGAUAGAAGGUGUUUGUUUUCAGGGUAUAUUUGUAUGUAAUGAAUUGCUUAUGUUUUUGUGGUGUCUACCUUGUGUGUAUUUAUUUAUCUACAGUAUUUCUGUGUGUGCUGCUGGUAUUGCAAGGCAGUCAGCAGCCUCACAGUGGACUGGAGAGGGGUGGACUACAUGAAGAGUGGGGCUCACUCAGGACUGGCCUGUUCAAGUAGGGAGGCAGGACCGGGACUGAGACCACCUUACACUGCUCAGCCCCCCCCACCCACCCUAACCAUCAUACCCCCCACCAGCACCCCUCCUCCACUCCCGACACACUCACACUCUCCCUUGCCCUGUGCCUGUCUCUCUCCAUUCUACCAAGCAGCCAGCCAGACCUCUCUUCUGCCCUGUCGACAUCCCUCGAGUGUUCCACGCCUUUCUCCCUCAGCCUCCUCAGCCGUGCUCGUCUGCCCUCGCCUCCGCUGACGGUCCAAGUCUAUCUACAACUGCAACAAGUUCCCUGGGACUUUUUCAGAAACUCUUUCCUCAAUACCUUUUUUUCUUUUUGCUACCUCCCUUGAGACGCCAGUGCGGGUUGUGCUGUGUGAUAGGGUCUAGUGUUGCUCUUCGCCUUCGGGGUCUCUGUACGCUGUUGACCAGAGGAGAAGACUACUUGUCACCAUGAUCAAAGUUCAGCUGCUGCUCUUGCUGGGCCUGGUCGGCCCCUUCUGUGCCGUCGCACGCGCAAGCACACUGGUGACACCAUUAGACAGGGUGUCAGAUACCCCUGCUGCCACCGAUACCCUCGAAGAAGGCGCCACCGAUGCCCCCAAGACUGCGGCCGAUGAGGUCGUAACGAAAGCCCCUGCCACCGAUAAACCCGUCACUACUCAGGCCGAUGAGGCUGCCCCGAAGGUGACAGAGGCCGCUUCCACGGAGACCGAGGCCACUGAGGCUGCCGAGCAGGAGGCGGCUACAACGGAGGCCCCUGCUGUCGCCACCACGGCCCCGGCAUAUCCCAAAGCCACGGCAGCUGCAGAGGCUGAGGAGGAGUUGGUGGUGGAGGAGGGUAAGGAUAGGAGAUGUCAUCUACAGAUAUAGAGAUCAUGAAGCUGAGAAACCCUGUCAAUGCUACAGUCUGUAGGUGCUCCCAUAGGCGGGAAUCAAAGAGGGCAAGGAUAUGUGUAGAACUCAAGACACGAUGAAAUUGCUCUGCCCCCUGGUCUCUAAAUUUCUAUCCUUGCCUUUUAGUCGAUUGUCUCACUCUCCCUAUUUCCAUAAUUUUUUUCCCCUUCUCUCGGUUUCCUUCCUGUUUCACCAAACGUGUUGUUGAUUCCCUAUCGAGGUCAGUCUGAUGGGGUAACUCAGUCUUUGUGUUCCUUCCACAGAGGGCACUGGCUCUGGACAAGUGGUGGGUAUUGUGAUUGGCGCAUUGGUGGCAGUGAUCAUUGUCAUCGCCGUGGUGAUCGCCUUGGUGAGGAGAAUGGGCAAAUACUCGUAAGUACUCGUAAGUUUUUUUAUCUCUGCAUCCAGUAUGAGAGAAGUUAGAGGUAGUUUAGCAAGCCAAUGCUAACUAGCUUAGCGCAAACACUGAAAGUCUUCGGGAUCAGUUAGCAUCCGUCAUACUGGACGCAGAGACAUAACAUUUGCCAUCACAGGUUGGUGGCACCUUAAUUGGGGAGGAUGGGCUCGUGGUAAUGGCUGGAGUGGAAUGGUAUCAAAUACGUCAAAUACAUGGCUUUCAUGUGUUUGAUGCCAUUCCAGCCAUUAUUAUUAGCCGUCCUGCCCUCAGCAGCCUCCACUGUUUGCUAUCCACGAGUUCAUCUGACUCUGGGGAAGUAGAUAAAGGGCUUCAUUGCCAAAAUACUAUGGUGAAGUGGGUGCAAUGGGUAUUACGAAGCACAUGGUUUAAUAGAUAAAACAACCUGCAUCACCUUUCAACCAUAACACAUUUGAAUCAUAGAUUCAAAUAGAAGUGUCUGUAUUCCUUUAAAAAAUAAGUUUUGGCCUCCCGAGUGGCGCUGUGGUCUAAGGCACUGCAUCGCAGUACUAGCUGUGCCACUAGAGAUUCUGAGUUCCGAGUCCAGGCUGUCGCAGCCGGCCGGUAAUUUUUUUAAUUUAUUUAUAGACGUUUUAAAUGGGAACAAGAAGUGUCUUCCAAUAGAGGACACGACAGCUGCUGUACUCCUUACCACACACCUUUUCCUCUGAAAAUAUUGUUAUAUUUGGGGAUGUGCUUGCCUGCUAACAGGGAACAUUUUUUUAUGCCAUAGGGCUGCUGCUGCUGCUAAGAAAAAGGCUGCCACAAAAGAGAGCAUCUUGGUUUCUGUAAUUUUCUCUGAUUGUUUUCCCAGUUAAUCAUCUUAACCCCAUGACUCUCUGUGGUCCAAAGUCACAGACACAAAACAAAUGAUGCGUCUCAUAUUGAACCCUAUUCAUUUUAUAGGGCCCUAGUCAAAAGUAGUGCUCCAUUAAGGGGAAUAGGUGCUAUUUAGGAUGCACCCUUUGUGUCUGUCCGUCGCCGAUCGACAGGCUGUUGGUUGCUACUGCUCUCUGAGACAUCCACUCAUGGGCCAAUGAGCCAUCAGGCAUUGUUCAUUCAGUGAAACAAGUGGCUUUAUUUGCACUUCAAUUUCAGUCAAAAGGCUCAUGUAUGGACUUAGUGGGUCCAUUGACAAAUGGUUUCCCAGCUGUUUGGCUUUACAUCAGUUCUAAUUGAUUAUGCUGGCUGUCUCAAUGGCAUAAUGGUUUGAAGCAGAGUAGCAACUCAAGGCUGUCAUCUUGAAUGUGUUAUCCUGAUAACUAAUUCAAAGAGAUUUGUUGUUGGUCCGUUUUGAAACACUUUUGUUUUUUAUUGUACCAACUUCACCUAAACUGAGUAAAAUGUAUUAAAUAAAUACCAUUUUAAGUAUGUUUCUCCUUUAAACCAUUCAAAACUAACUAUAUCCUUAUACAAGCCGAAUGGUUGUAGUGCCCAUAACUAAGAUAACAUGCAGUAUAUGAGUGACUUUUGAAUUAAUUCAGUUACAAUCACCCAUGUUUUUAUUUCCUCAUUUUCGGGUCACUGGUGACUCCCCCUACGAAUUAUGACGUUUCAUGAAAAAUGUACUAAGAGAACAUAAUUUUAUGUGCUGUGGUAUCAUUAAAAUCAUAAACCAAGCAACUUUUUAGAUAUAAUUUAUCCAAACCAUUUUUUCAAUCAUCUGAAAUGUGUGAGCAGAUUUUGUUUGAGUGUUGGCCUGUGUGUUUUACUCUUUCUCCUUCUCUCUUCAUCCCUCAGCCCCUGAGGAGAAAGGCUGCCAGACAGGAAGUCCCCAAAAUGUUCUGGCAAUUCUGAACUGCUGAACUACGUAAUUUCCUGUCAUUAAACAAGCAUGCUACCAGCACUAACCUAACCAAGAUCUUGUACUGUUGCCAAAAGGAGGGGGAGGUGUGGGGGGAGAAGAAUGUUUCUCUCCCAACCCCCAGACAGAGCCAUUGAUAUCAAUGGUCCUGCCCAACCACACAACAACCCUCCACACCGAUAACCAAACGGGGGGGGGGGGGGGUGACCCCUCACUGACAUCCACAGUGACCCACAGGAUGUCAGUAAAUUUCAGGAUUUUUCAUGUGUUUGUAAAAAGAAAGGAAGUAAGGGAUUAUUUAACUUGUGGUAGAAAACGCUCUCUUAUGCAGUGGUGUGUACAUUAAUUCCAAUUUGCAUUUGAGUUGAAGACGACCUAAAAACACGACACAAAAGAAACAGAAAAUAAAUAUAAAAAUAAAAAGUUGAAUACAGAAGGGGAAAAAAGGCGGAAGAAAAUGUGGUGAAUUUAAUAGGGUGUAUAUACCAUGCAAAGGGACUACAGUUAUUACUUGAUUAUAUGUUGCAGUUGCUCACUAUAGCAUUCAGUUAAUGGAACAUUGCAAAGCAGCCAAAAACAUCCACAUAGUAUUUUCUCACCUUAACACCUAGCCAAUGAGUCCCUACCUACCAAAAUGUUCAACAACUAUAUGAAGCACUGUAUGCAGAAGUUGUUUCGACAUUGUGCUCAUGUUCUGAGGGUUAGCGAGGGGCUAAUGAAAAGACGCCUCAUUUGCAAGUGUAACGUGACAUUCGCCAGCUUUAACACUGACAUAUAAAAACCUAAUACAGAUCUGUGAAAUUUUGCAGAAGGGUUUGUGCCACUGUCUCUGGUAUUCCCUGGAUAGUUUGGAGAUUUUACUUUUGAAGUGCAUUAAUGUGAAUUAAGUACUUUAACUGUCACCCAUUCCAAUAGGACAGCUUUGACGACUUCAGGUUUUCACAAAAUCAUGUGUUACAUAUACAGGUAGAAGUCAUCAGCCCCCAUUCUGCUAGCAUUGUCCUUUACAAUGUAUUCACUGUACUUCUGCUUACUUUAGUUUGGAUGGAGUAUACCAAGCAAACACACACAAUCUUUAAAUACAGGUUCCCCCCUGAAUGCAUACAAAGGAUGUUUUGACUUCCAUGAUUGCACCCAGUUUUAGGCACAUUUUCUUCAUAAUCGUUAGUGGAUAAUGGGUGUAAACAUUAUUCAGUCUCAGCUUAGCUCCGCUUGCUUUAAGAACUCCGUUAAUAAGUGCACUGAAUGAGUGAUGACAAUUGUUUAAUGGAUGCGCUUUAGACACUGCAAUCGUUUGCAACGAUGUUUGUUUCUGCUUUUGCUCCAUAUUAUCAAAUCUAGGUCUUUCAUUUUACUUGUCAGAUUUUUUUUUUGUCCUUUUAUUUAAUUGCAGUGUUUUUGUUCAUACUGUUUCAAUAAACAAGUGAAAACACUCCAAAUAUACACUGGCUUGAGACAUGUUUUUAUUUAUGUGUGUUGGUAGAAUUCAGACAUUGUAUUGUCUUUGUUGCUCCAUUGUUUUUUAGCUGUUGCUUAUCAAAUCAAGUUUCCAUGACACUGUCUAAAGUCAGAUUCAAGUAAUUUCCCCCAAAAUCUUGACAAGCCAAACAAGAGGUGCUGACACAGGAAGUAAUUAAUUAGCUCAUGACUGCUUUUUACACCGAACUGUUUCCCCACAAUCUUUAGUGUAAAAUUAGCACACACCACUACCCAGCAUGCACUGGGGUAGAAGUCAGUGGCGAAAGCUGAUUGCUCCAGUCAGGUAAUGCACAAAAUUUCAACACCCCUCCACUGAAUCAAGACAAACUACGGCCAAAUGCGGUCCUGUAUGGACUGCCUGAGACUGCUGAGUCCGUUAACUCUCUCCGGCUGGGGUGUUUCUCUGACAGUUACGUGUGUUUUUUUUAUGUUGUGGCGUUUUUCGUACGGCACUGUUAACCUGGGGCAGCUCUCCAACAGUGAGCUGUGAG
rnacentral:lncRNA from 8 species